CUUGCUUCUCUUGAGAGCGGCGGACGGGUGAGUAAUGCCUAGGAAUCUGCCUGGUAGUGGGGGAUAACGUCCGGAAACGGACGCUAAUACCGCAUACGUCCUACGGGAGAAAGCAGGGGACCUUCGGGCCUUGCGCUAUCAGAUGAGCCUAGGUCGGAUUAGCUAGUUGGUGGGGUAAUGGCUCACCAAGGCGACGAUCCGUAACUGGUCUGAGAGGAUGAUCAGUCACACUGGAACUGAGACACGGUCCAGACUCCUACGGGAGGCAGCAGUGGGGAAUAUUGGACAAUGGGCGAAAGCCUGAUCCAGCCAUGCCGCGUGUGUGAAGAAGGUCUUCGGAUUGUAAAGCACUUUAAGUUGGGAGGAAGGGCAGUAAAUUAAUACUUUGCUGUUUUGACGUUACCGACAGAAUAAGCACCGGAUAACUCUGUGCCAGCAGCCGCGGUAAUACAGAGGGUGCAAGCGUUAAUCGGAAUUACUGGGCGUAAAGCGCGCGUAGGUGGUUCGUUAAGUUGGAUGUGAAAUCCCCGGGCUCAACCUGGGAACUGCAUUCAAAACUGACGAGCUAGAGUAUGGUAGAGGGUGGUGGAAUUUCCUGUGUAGCGGUGAA
rnacentral:rRNA from 1 species